GACGAACGCUGGCGGCGUGCUUAACACAUGCAAGUCGAACGGAAAGGCCCUGCUUUUGUGGGGUGCUCGAGUGGCGAACGGGUGAGUAACACGUGAGUAACCUGCCCUUGACUUUGGGAUAACUUCAGGAAACUGGGGCUAAUACCGGAUAGGAGCUCCUGCUGCAUGGUGGGGGUUGGAAAGUUUCGGCGGUUGGGGAUGGACUCGCGGCUUAUCAGCUUGUUGGUGGGGUAGUGGCUUACCAAGGCUUUGACGGGUAGCCGGCCUGAGAGGGUGACCGGCAACAUUGGGACUGAGAUACGGCCCAGACUCCUACGGGAGGCAGCAGUGGGGAAUAUUGCAAAAUGGGCGGAAGCCUGAUGCAGCAACGCCGCGUGCGGGAUGACGGCCUUCGGGUUGUAAACCGCUUUCGCCUGUGACGAAGCGUGAGUGACGGGAAUGGGGAAAGAAGCACCGGCGAACUACGU
rnacentral:rRNA from 1 species